UUCGAUCUGGCAAAUGUAACUUAGAUUUGUAUAGUCAUAUAUCCUUUAUAUCUAACAUUCACAUUGCACAUGGACUUCUUUUACUGCAAAAAGAAUUAGUACUAAAAGAAAUACAAAUCUACUUGGGAAUAAACUCUAAUAAUAUAAAUAAAUAAAAAACCACCAUCCAAAAAACUGGGGGCUCUCUCACAGGAUUAUCUUAAAUUUAAACCCGUCAAAAUAAGCUCCAACAGUCGUAUUAUACACGUGGCCUCAUCCAGGCCGUUCAUUUCUUUCAUCAGCUUCUAAUCAACGGUAGCCACCCCAGCGUUAGUUCCAAGCAAACAUCGCUCUCAUCCAGCUUCGCUGGUAAGGCUUCUACGGUCUCUACCGAGCCGCUAUCCACAUCGCCGCUUUCUCCAUCCCGGCUCGGCUCUUCCGUCCGCUGUUGGCUCAGACCCGAAUUAAGGCUCGGUGACCCGACUGCCUCUUCCUCCUCCUUAUGACACCAACUCCACAUCACCCUAGCCGCAUCGUCAACAUCCGGCGACUGCUUCCUCGGCUCAGGCUUAGCUGAUACCCGUUUAAACCGGGUUCUGGACUUAACCUUGUGCAGAUCGGGAUCCGAGAUAUUUUCUCUAGACACGUGGCGAAUAUCACAUGCUUUAAGCGGAGGGCUCGUUGCGUCUGCAGCCGAGUCGGGUGAAAGUUUAACGAUCGGCGCACCGUUUAGAACGGCUUCAACAGCAGCUUGACAAAGAGGCCAGUUGCCGGAAGUUAACAAACCAGUAGAACCGUAAAUUGGAUUUACAAUACGUCCACAAGCUUCAUACAACAACGAUCUGAAAAUAGCUGCAAUACACAAAAAAUCAAAAUUAAUCAUCAUCAUCAUCACUACAUCUAAUUUGCUACUUAUAACAUUAUAUGUAAAAUUAACUAACCAGGACGCAAAUGGUCAGGUCCAGAAUUAAUGAGAUUGAGAAGCCCCGCACGGCCAUAAAACUUAGCAAGGAAAAGAGUGGCGUU
rnacentral:misc_RNA from 1 species